UACGAAGGGGGCUAGCGUUGCUCGGAAUUACUGGGCGUAAAGGGCGCGUAGGCGGACAGUUUAGUCAGAGGUGAAAGCCCUGGGCUCAACCCAGGAAGUGCACUCGAAACUGGCGGGCUUGAAUAUGGAAGAGGGUCGCGGAAUUCCCGGUGUAGAGGUGAAAUUCGUAGAUAUCGGGAGGAACACCAGUGGCGAAGGCGGCGACCUGGGCCAAUAUUGACGCUGAGG
rnacentral:rRNA from 1 species